rnacentral:rRNA from 1 species
GACGAACGCUGGCGGCGUGCUUAACACAUGCAAGUCGAGCGGUAAGGCCCUUUCGGGGGUACACGAGCGGCGAACGGGUGAGUAACACGUGGGUGACCUGCCCUCAGCUCUGGGAUAAGCCUGGGAAACCGGGUCUAAUACCGGAUAUGACUCCAUGACGCAUGUUGUGGGGUGGAAAGCCUUGUGCGGCUGAGGAUGGGCCCGCGGCCUAUCAGCUUGUUGGUGGGGUGAUGGCCUACCAAGGCGACGACGGGUAGCCGGCCUGAGAGGGCGACCGGCCACACUGGGACUGAGACACGGCUCAGACUCCUACGGGAGGCAGCAGUGGGGAAUCUUGCGCAAUGGGCGAAAGCCUGACGCAGCGACGCCGCGUGAGGGAUGACGGCCUGG